GGAAGCAGGGGAUCGUAAGACCUCGCGCUAUUGGAGCGGCCGAUGUCCGAUUAGCUAGUUGGUGGGGUAAUGGCCUACCAAGGCGACGAUCGGUAGCUGGUCUGAGAGGAUGAUCAGCCACACUGGGACUGAGACACGGCCCAGACUCCUACGGGAGGCAGCAGUGGGGAAUUUUGGACAAUGGGCGAAAGCCUGAUCCAGCCAUGCCGCGUGAGUGAAGAAGGCCUUCGGGUUGUAAAGCUCUUUCGGCCGGAACGAAAUCGUCCGGGCUAAUACCCCGGAUGGAUGACGGUACCGGAAGAAGAAGCACCGGCUAACUACGUGCCAGCAGCCGCGGUAAUACGUAGGGUGCAGGCGUUAAUCGGAAUUACUGGGCGUAAAGCGUGCGCAGGCGGCUUCCUAAGUCAGAUGUGAAAUCCCCGGGCUUAACCUGGGAACUGCGUUUGAAACUACAAAGC
rnacentral:rRNA from 1 species